rnacentral:misc_RNA from 1 species
GUGAAUCAUCAAAUUUUUGAACGCAAAUUGCACUCUCCUCGGAGAGUAUGCCUGAUUGGGGGUCAGCCUAUAAAAAAUCGAAAUUGUUGAUGUUUCGCGGUGACGUUUGUCGGUAAUUGGGGAAUCUUAAUCUUUUUGGUUUUUAAGCGACUUAAAAUUUUUUUUUUUGUUAUAUGAACGUUUUUAAGAUUUAUUUUUUUACACGUUUAAGGUAUCGAUUUUUAUUAGGCGUGAUCACGAUAUCGGAUCGCGUGCAUAAUCUUUUAUUA